rnacentral:rRNA from 1 species
GGGUCAGUGGGUUGGUCGUGCCACCGGUACGUACUGGUCUCACUGAUUCCUCCUUCCUGAAGAGCCGUAAUGCCAUUAAUUUGGUGUUGCGGGGAAACAGGACUGUUACUUUGAAAAAAUUAGAGUGUUUAAAGCAAGCUAACGCUAGAAUACAUUAGCAUGGAAUAAUGAAAUAGGACGAUCGAUCCUAUUUUAUUGGUUUCUAGGAUUGACGUA